CUUUGUUUACAGCUUUAGUGGUACUGAUGGGACUCACUCUUGCCAGUCACAGAACCAGCCCUCCUUCAGCCUCAGCCUUAUCUUAUUCUUUAGAUAAUCAGAGCAGAGACUCUUGACAGACAGCCUAAAGCCUUUUACCUGGGUAGGUUUGGGGUUUUAACUUCAGUUGUUCCAGAGCAUGAUGUCACAAGGACAUGAGUCCCACACGGGUGCAUUCUCUGGGUCCAGUAAAUACUGUGUUCCAUGGGGGAGGUUAUGGAACUCAGUGGUCCAAUUCUAAGGAAGAUCCUUGAUCAAAGUUGUACUUGGUGAGAUUUGGCAAAGCAUCUUUAAGAAGAUAUCCUCCCCCCAACAAAUCCAGUUCCCAUCAUUUAUUCUGCCUGCAUUAGGUUAUAAUACAUUAACCCCAGAGAAACAGGAACAUGCCUGAGGUUUGUUAUGGUUUGAACAAACAAUGUUCUUCCAUGGGUUUGAAGGCUUGGUUCCUCACUAUGACGCUAACUUGAGAUGAUGCAGAAACUAUGGAAGGUGAAGCCUGACAAAGCUGGAGAAUCAAGGAACCAUGUGGAGACACCUGCUGGCUCUGCCUCUGGGAAGCAAGAAUGGAAAUUAGGAGUCUAAAGAGAGAUGAAUUUCAAAGAGAGACAUAUGUUGUGGGACCAGCUGGGUAGAGUGUACCAGAGUUUGGCUCCCAGCACCCAUCCUGGGAGCUCACAACUGCUUCCACCUCCAGCUCCGGCAAAUUAGAUAUUGUUCUGGACUCCGAAGGUACCUAUGUACAUACU